UAGGGAAUCUUCGGCAAUGGACGAAAGUCUGACCGAGCAACGCCGCGUGAGUGAAGAAGGUUUUCGGAUCGUAAAACUCUGUUGUUCGAGAAGAACAAGGACGUUAGUAACUGAACGUCCCCUGACGGUAUCUAACCAGAAAGCCACGGCUAACUACGUGCCAGCAGCCGCGGUAAUACGUAGGUGGCAAGCGUUGUCCGGAUUUAUUGGGCGUAAAGCGAGCGCAGGCGGUUUCUUAAGUCUGAUGUGAAAGCCCCCGGCUCAACCGGGGAGGGUCAUUGGAAACUGGGAGACUAGAGUGCAGAAGAGGAGAGUGGAAUUCCAUGUGUAGCGGUGAAAUGCGUAGAUAUAUGGAGGAACACCAGUGGCGAAGGCGGCUCUCUGGUCUGUAACUGACGCUGAGGCUCGAAAGCGUGGGGAGCAAACAGG
rnacentral:rRNA from 1 species